rnacentral:rRNA from 1 species
UCAGUAACACGUAGUCACAUAGCCAGGGACGUAGGAUAACCUACGGGAAACUGAGGAUAAACCGCGAUAGGUCAUAAUAUCUGGAAUGAUUUAUGGCCAAAAUCUACAUAGGCCCCUGGAUUGGACUAGCGGCCGAUCAGGCUAGUUGGUGAGGUAAUAGGCCCACCAAACCUAAAACCGGUACGGGCUCUAGAGAGGAGAAGCCCGGAGAUGGGCACUAGAAGACAAGGGCCCAGGCCCUAUGGGGCGCAGCAGGCGCGAAAACUACUGCAAUAAGCGAAAGCUUGACAGGGUUAUUCUGAGUAGAUUUCCGCUAACGGAAAUCUUUUGGCACCUCUAAACAAUGGUGCAGAAUAAGGGGUAGGGCAAGCCUGGUGCCAGC